AAAGGUUCCUCCCCUGAAGGGAAGAGUGUAUGUAUAAAGGGGACUCUGCCUGAGCAAGUAGGGAAAAUCUGGGAGAAGAUGCAUGGCUAAGCCUACAAGGUUCCUCUUUCCACCUCUCUUUGGACAGUGAUUGCUUCUCCUCCAUUUCUCCUGCUGUGUGCCAUCUGUCCACACUUGUGCAAUAAGAUCAAUAUCCUGUCAGACUUCAUCAUUUGUCCUCUUCAGUAUCUCAUUGUGUAAAUCUGCACGUCUGUAAAUCAGAUGUUUUUAUUAUUUAAAAAAAUAAUAAUUAAUUCCUCAUCACAGCAAAGAUGUUGUUGUUACUGUGUCAAUCCAGCACAGAUGAUGAAGUCAAUAAGGGAUCUCUGGUAUGCUUGUACCUGGCCAGAAAAAUUAAAGUUUUAGAAGUUAAUGCCACCAGGACAGUUGAGGAACACAGCUGCAACAUAGGACCUGGAUACCAAAAGUCUCCCAAGUCAUCUACCAGUCUCCCUCCAAUGUGGCACCUAAUUGCUCCAGAUCUUCCCUUGGGCUGGUGCAUCAUUCCCCUCUGCUGCUUCCAAAAGCUGUAAAGGUCAGUAGGAUUUUUCCUUCUCUGCUGUCACUUCAUGCUAAUUAUCCCAGCAAUAUAAAAUAAAAACCAAGAAUGGAGAACAAGUAAAUAAAUAGAAUAGUCUGAGUAUCCAAUAGGAGAAAAAAAAAUGCUAAUAAUUGCUAGUAAAUUGAUGGUAAUUGCUAAAAUUCAUAGCAAUUUGUUUGCUUUCAUAAAAACAAAUUACUAAAAUAUGUUGCUGUGACUUACAUGUCCUAUUUCAUCUCACUCACUAAAUGGUUAUUGCUCCACACUUUAAAACUGUUUAUAUACAAUUCUGUAACAAUCUCGCUGUAUGACAAACUCGCAUUAACAUCUCUAACUUGGUGUUUGGAGCAUUUGCACUCACAGAAGGUCUGUCUAGAAGGCCUCAAAGAUCAAUGAGAAAUUUUUCUAUUACUUUCAAUAUGCUUGCUGUGAAUCCCAAAGUGAAAAGUAGCUUGCAGGGAGCCUGGAUAUUGAGCAGGCUGGUACACGCAAGUAGGAAGUGCCAGACUGCAAAACUCUGGGAAAUGUUUUUGCUUCCCAGCCAGACUGCUGAGGCUUCUGCCUGUGGUCUCUUGUGCAGUUGGGACUACCAAGCAUUAAGCAACAGUGACAUCGAAGGUCUGACCUCCAAUCUAGCACUUUGGCUGCUACAAUAUCUCUAUCGCUUCACCCCAGACAAGUGAAUAUAAAAUUAUAAA